GACGAACGCUGGCGGCGUGCUUAACACAUGCCAGUCGAACGAAAAUACCAAGCUUGCUUGGUUGAUUAGUGGCGAACGGGUGAGUAACACGUGAGUAACCUGCCCCUUACUUUCCUGGAUAACUGCUCGAAAGGGUAGCUAAUACGGGAUAUUCUGACCAGCCUGCAUGGGUUGGUUUGGAAAGGUUGUUUUUCUGGUAAGGGAUGGGCUCGCGGCCUAUCAGCUUGUUGGUGGGGUGAUGGCCUACCAAGGCUUUGACGGGUAGCCGGCCUGAGAGGGUGGACGGUCACACUGGGACUGAGAUACGGCCCAGACUCCUACGGGAGGCAGCAGUGGGGAAUAUUGCACAAUGGGCGCAAGCCUGAUGCAGCGACGCCGCGUGAGGGAUGAAGGCCUUCGGGUUGUAAACCUCUUUCGUCAGGGAACAAGGAACUGCUUUUUUGGUGGUGUUGAGGGUACCUGGAUAAGAAGCGCCGGCUAACUACGUG
rnacentral:rRNA from 1 species